rnacentral:misc_RNA from 1 species
GUUUGCUAAAACUUCCUUGUUCUCAAAGCAUGGAGAGAUGGAAAGCUGGCCUAAGGGUCACGACUUUCGGUUCUACAAAUUAGUAAUAGAGAACAUAUUCUUGAUCGAUUGGUUCGGUGGGCCUAAGCCUCUUACAGUCAAUCAAUAUCUUCAUUUGAAACCGAAUGAGAUCACAUCCAUAAUUUGAAUUUGUACAAUCUGAUCUUCCUUGUUCAUAUGAGCUUCCUGGGUUUGAACAGUAGAAAGUUUGUACAGAAUUAUUGCUUUUGGGGGUGGGAACUAUGGGA